GACGAACGCUGGCGGCGUGCUUAACACAUGCAAGUCGAACGGAAAGGCCCUGCUUUUGUGGGGUGCUCGAGUGGCGAACGGGUGAGUAACACGUGAGUAACCUGCCCUUGACUUUGGGAUAACUUCAGGAAACUGGGGCUAAUACCGGAUAGGAGCUCCUGCUGCAUGGUGGGGGUUGGAAAGUUUCGGCGGUUGGGGAUGGACUCGCGGCUUAUCAGCUUGUUGGUGGGGUCGUGGCUUACCAAGGCUUUGACGGGUAGCCGGCCUGAGAGGGUGACCGGCUACAUUGGGACUGAGAUACGGCCCAGACUCCUACGGGAGGCAGCAGUGGGGAAGAUUGCACAAUGGGCGGAAGCCUGAUGCAGCAACGCCGCGUGCGGGAUGACGGCCGUCGGGUUGUAAACCGCUUUCGCCUGUGACGAAGCGUGAGUGACGGUAAGGGGGAAAGAAGCACCGGCUAACUACGUG
rnacentral:rRNA from 1 species